AUUGAACGCUGGCGGAAUGCUUUACACAUGCAAGUCGAACGGCAGCACGGGGGCAACCCUGGUGGCGAGUGGCGAACGGGUGAGUAAUACAUCGGAACGUGCCCAGUCGUGGGGGAUAACGUAGCGAAAGUUACGCUAAUACCGCAUACGAUCUACGGAUGAAAGCGGGGGACCGUAAGGCCUCGCGCGAUUGGAGCAGCCGAUGUCAGAUUAGGUAGUUGGUGAGGUAAAGGCUCACCAAGCCGACGAUCUGUAGCGGGUCUGAGAGGACGAACAGCCACACUGGGACUGAGACACGGCCCAGACUCCUACGGGAGGCAGCAGUGGGGAAUUUUGGACAAUGGGCGCAAGCCUGAUCCAGCCAUUCCGCGUGCAGGACGAAGGCCUUCGGGUUGUAAACUGCCUUUGUACGGAACGAAAAGGCUCUGGUUAAUACCUGGGGCUCAUGACGGUACCGUAAGAAUAAGCACCGGCUAACUACGUGCCAGCCGCCGCAGUAA
rnacentral:rRNA from 1 species